UACGAAGGGGGCUAGCGUUGCUCGGAAUCACUGGGCGUAAAGCGCACGUAGGCGGGUCCUUAAGUCAGGGGCGAAAUCCCGGAGCUCAACUCCGGAACUGCCUUUGAUACUGGGAAUCUUCGAGUCCGGGAGAGGUGAGUGGAACUGCGAGUGUAGAGGUGAAAUUCGUAGAUAUUCGCAAGAACACCAGUGGCGAAGGCGGCUCACUGGCCCGGUACUGACGCUGAGGUGCGAAAGCGUGGGGAGCAAACAGG
rnacentral:rRNA from 1 species